AACGUAGGGGGCGAGCGUUACUCGGAUUUACUGGGUGUAAAGGGGGCGUAGGCGGCCCGGCAAGUCAAGUGUGAAAUCCCUGGGCUCAACCUAGGAAUUGCGCUUGUGACUGGCGGGCUCGAGUACGGUAGAGGGGGGUGGAAUUCCUGGUGUAGCAGUGAAAUGCGUAGAGAUCAGGAGGAACACCGAUGGCGAAGGCAGCCCCCUGGGCCUGUACUGACGCUCAUGCACGAAAGCGUGGGGAGCAAACAGG
rnacentral:rRNA from 1 species